UAAACGACUCUCGGCAACGGAUAUCUCGGCUCUCGCAUCGAUGAAGAACGUAGCGAAAUGCGAUACUUGGUGUGAAUUGCAGAAUCCCGUGAACCAUCGAGUCUUUGAACGCAAGUUGCGCCCCAAGCCUUCUGGCCGAGGGCACGUCUGCCUGGGUGUCACAA
rnacentral:rRNA from 1 species